CAGGAAUUACCCCUGAGUCUCAGGAAGACAUCCCUUGAUGAAGUGGACACCCAGACAGAAUUUUACUCUGACAGUAAGAAGAAAACAGACAGUGCUUUUUACUCAGUUGUGCAAUGAUGGUCUCUUCACUUCAGAAAGUCAUCUAACAAUAGCCCAGUCAAAAUUUCUGUCUUCUAUUUCUUGCCCUUCUGGAGGAAAAAUAUAUCAGAAAUAUUGUCAUAACCUUUAAAGAAGACAGUGCAUAAUCACCUAGUAAUAAUUCAGAUGCAGCGGAAUAUGGAGGGCAUCAGAGACUGGACCACAGCACUGACUUUUUUUCUGAGGCUUUUGAACAUAAUGGGCGUCCCUAUUCUCUUUUGGUGUACAUUCCAAGCAGAGUGGCCCUCAUCCUUCAGAAUGUGGAUCUGCCGAAUUGAAGAGGCCUGAUUUCAGCUCCACCAGAUGCAGAUUUGUGUUUUGUUUUCUUGUUAUCACUGUCACACAGCUUAUAACAUGUAUGCUUUUCAGAAUACAGUUGUCUAGCCAAGCCAUCAAGUGUCUGAAAUUCAAUAUUGGUUUAUGCAAAUACAGCAAACUUUUAUUUAAGUAGAUGGGAGAAUAUGUUUAAAAUAUUAGGAAUCCUAGACCAUAUUUUCAAGUCAUCUUAGCAGCUAGGAUUCUCAAAUGGAAGUGUUAUAUAUAAUAUGUUAAAAACAUUUUGCUUUCCUGGCUAAUUAUUUGAUCCUUUUAAAUUCAAAUUUGAAUCAUUUGUCAUGUAUGAUUAUUUCUGUUAAAUGUACACAGUAUUUAAGAUGGAUAUUUGGUGGCUCUAUUUGUUCUGAUAUCUUUUGGUCUAAAUUAUGAGGUACCAAGAUUGUUUCUUUGUUUCUUUUUUUCAAAUUGUGUUUAGAAAUACUGUAAUAAAUAUGCAGUAGUGAUAUAAAGAAUUAUAUCCAAGGUAAUAUAAAAGCCAUUACGUAUGAACUCAUCCGUGUCUCAUUUUGUGUUUUAUUUUGUGAUCUCUUGUCCACUAAGUAUCUUGUUAAAUGCCAGUAUCUCAGUCUUUCUGAAGCCCUGAAAUGGUAAUUGUAGCAUUUCAGAAAAUGUCUUUCAUUUCAAUCAAUAAAAAGCUUUUGUAAAAUUGCCUUUGCUAAUGUUUAUUUUGCUAUACUAUUAUAGGGCUUGAUUAUAAAUGAAUAUUAUUGUAUUCUUAUACCUUCUAAUACCUUCUUAACUCUAAUACCUUCUCCACAUACAUUCACAUCUACAUGAUGG
rnacentral:lncRNA from 1 species